GACGAACGCUGGCGGCGUGCCUAACACAUGCAAGUAGGACGCAGUUGCGAACGGGGGAGUAACGCGUAGGUAACUACCUAUUAGAGGGGGAUAACUAUUGGAAACGAUAGCUAAUACCGCAUACUAGUAGAUGGACCUGCGUUGUAUUAGCUAGUAGGUUGGGUAAUGGCCUACCUAGGCAACGAUACAUAGCCGACCUGAGGGGGGGGUCGGCCACACUGGGAAUGUGGACAGGCCCAGGCUCCCACGGGAGGCAGCAGGAGGGAAUCUUCGGCAAUGGGGGGAACCCUGACCGAGCAACGCCGCGGGAGGGAAGAAGGUUUUCGGAUCGUAAAUCUCUGUUGUUAAGGAAGCGGUACUUAACCAGAAAGGGACGGCUAACUACGUGCCAGCAGCCGCGGUAAUUC
rnacentral:rRNA from 1 species